rnacentral:rRNA from 1 species
GGACCGUCCAAACGUUUAUUCGGAAUCACUGGGCUUAAAGGGUGCGUAGGCGGCCUGACAAGUUGGGUGUGAAAUCCCUCGGCUCAACCGAGGAACUGCGCUCAAAACUGUCAGGCUAGAGGGAGAUAGAGGUGAGCGGAACUUAUGGUGGAGCGGUGAAAUGCGUUGAUAUCAUAAGGAACACCGGUGGCGAAAGCGGCUCACUGGAUCUCUUCUGACGCUGAGGCACGAAAGCUAGGGUAGCGAACGGGGGAUUAGAUACCCCGGUAGUCCUAGCUGUAAACGAUGAGCACUUGGUUGGAGACUCCUCCAUAGGUUUCCGGCCGAAGCGAAAGUGUUAAGUGCUCCGCCUGGGGAGUAUGGUCGCAAGGCUG